CAAACAAAUGUGUGUGGUGGGGAAGUCAUUCUCCUUGCCUGGCAUUGAGUUCUCUCUUUCUGCACAACAGUCUCUCUUGACAGGAGGAUAGGAAGAGACAAUUACCCUUGAAAAUAAAAGAGAAGGUUUGGCCUAAUCCAAAAUACAAGCAAACUUAAAGGGCCAAUCUCUUUUCCCACCCCCAUCUCCAAAACCCACCCUAAAAAAAUAGCCAUACUUCUUUUAAAAAGGACUUUGGCCCAUUUUCUGAGUUUGAAAAUAUGAUGUAAAUAAUUACUGACAAUUACAGAGAGUUUGAAGAGACGAAACACCUCAGAGAAAAGCGAAUUCUGCAUUCAGCAAGAAUCAUCCUUCGUUGGGUCUGUAACCUGUCCCCACACAUUGCAGAACCACUUGAAUCAAUCAUCUUGGUUAAAAGGGGAAAACUAAGCCAAUUGAUUUGAAAACUUACUUCUGCAGAACGGAGAAUCCUGUUCUGGUGGCAACGAAAAUUGUUGUCCGAACUGGAAAUCAGCAUGGCUCACUGCUGAAUAGCCAUACAAAGCUUUGCUUUGGCAGUCAACUAAAAUGGUGCAGUUUGCAGAGAAAGUUACAAGUCAGGGUACACGGCGUGAAACAUAAGGAGCAAAAGAGAUGGGGAUAUUUUCUUUAGAAAUUUGCAGUAGGGAGGGAAAGUAGUUCUUGCGUUAUUAAAUGUCCAAAUUGGUUAAGACAGUCUUUCACAUUAAAAAUGCCUCAUGCAGCGCCUUAACAGUGUAGAAUUCUGCUUUUUGUACAUCAAAUCAGCAAUUCUUUCUGAAAUUGCCUGGUGAUCAAACAAUGUGGCACAGUUAUAGGAUCAUUCUAGAAAGUUCUGCAAAGAAAAAAAGAAUUUCUAUAUGAAGAAGCAUUUUUAAUGUAAAAAGAAGGGUGGGAAGGAGGGAGGCACCCCACUCAUCCAAUUAUACAUUUAGUACGAUAAGUAUAAUUUCUCCUGCACCUAGAGUAGAAUUUUAAAGAUGUUCUUCCAUUCUUGCUGAAAGGUAUAAUAGAAGGACACCUUUUUUUUUUUGUUAAAAGGAAAGAAGAGAGCAAGAUUCAGCAUACUGUAGCACAAAGGGUAUGAUUGUAGCUUCUAGCUUAGUGUGAAAAUAACAACAUAAGGAGUCCAAAUCUUUAAUCUGUAAUGGAAGUAUUAGCUGACUCUCAGACAAACAAAACAAAACAAAACAAAAAAGAAAGAAAGAAAGAAAAAAAGUAUUUCUUAGUUGUAUUCUCUCACCAUCAAACCAAUAAAUAAAACCAUUAUCUAAAGCCCCAGUCAGGCACUAUUUCAUAGAAAUAGGUCCAAAACUGGAAUAUGAUGGCAGUUACUUCUGACUAACCAUUUAUAUAAUUUUGCUGUACUUGAGGGAAUAUCCUGAAAGAUUAUUUAACUUAUACUUUGCCUUCAGACAGAUAACAUCUGUGUUAGAAAAGACCCACAGCAGAUAGUGACAGCAUUUAAACACAAGCACACAAAUAGACACACACCCACACACACAAACACAAACACAAACACACACACACACACACAAACACACGUUCCUGGCAAAUAUCUUAUCCAAACAGAUGUUUUGUCUUUGUAGUGCCAUUUUAUUUUCUAUUUUUUUUAAGAUGAGAGGCAAAGAUAAAAUAUCAGUAAGUGGACAAAGAGUUAUAUAGGCUGUGCUUAGCAUAUCACUGAUGAAAAAUCAAUCCUAAAAACGAAACAUUAUUUUUGACAAUAAAAUAAAAAAAAUAAAGGUGUUUUUGAAUUUUUGUGCUGAAUGUCAAAGUUCUUUCUCCUUUUUAGAGUGUGUCUGUGUAAUCCUUGAAUAAUAUACUUCUUCCCGAACAAAAAAGGAGAAAGAAGAAAAACUACUAAAAACAAUACAGAUAAUUAUUUAGUUUUUAAAUUGCUUUUUGUUGUACUCUGACUGGUACAAUAUUAUAAUAUUUAUAAACAUUUAAAAUUAUCAUAUAUUUAUUUCAGUUCUUUGAUUGAUUCUUUUCCCCCCUUAAAAAAUCAUACUUUAAAUGGUUAGAUUUACUUUACUAUAUAGUUUGUAUUAUACAUGGAAGCCAUUCUUAGUUAAUUUUUGGUGAAAUUUCUGUUAUACUAGUUAUUUUGUGUAUUCUCCAAGUAUAAGUUCUUAGACUGAUAUUGUCAGUACAUAUCUCUUUUCCAAUGCUCUACUAAGUUAAUCCUUGUGGUUAUCAAUAUAUUUCUUAGGAAAUUGUGAUUUUUUUUGAAUAUACGAAUAUAUAUAAAAUUGUGAUAUUUUUGCUAAUAUGUUUCAUUCAAAUUUUAUUUCUAAAG